rnacentral:rRNA from 1 species
GCUCGUAGUUGGAUUUCUGGCAUGAUGCGCCUGGCCCUGCGUGAUUAUGCGUGUGUGUGCUAGUGCGCGUCUGCCAUCCAUCUGCAGAAUAUGUCUACCCUCAAUUGGGCCGGAUAUGUGAUGUAAAUCUUUUACUUUGAAAAAAUUAGAGUGUUUAAAGCAGGCAUUUGCUAUGAAUACAUUAGCAUGGAAUAAUAAUCUAGGACUUCGGUUCUAUUUUGUUGGUUUCUAGAUCUGGAGUAAUGAUUGAUAGGGAUAGUUGGGGGUGCUAGUAUUAAGGGGCCAGAGGUGAAAUUCUUGGAUUCUCUUAAGACUAACUUAUGCGAAAGCAUUCACCAAGGAUGUCUUCUUUAAUCAAGAACGAAAGUUGGGGGAUCGAAGACGAUCAGAUACCGUCGUAGUCUCAACCAUAAACUAUGCCAACUAGGGAUGAGUGAACGUUGCAUUUUCGACUUCAUUCGCACCUUAUGAGAAAUCAAAGUCUUUGGGUUCCGGGGGGAGUAUGGUCGCA